GAUCAUAUGGGUUGAAGUGUUUAUUGUGGACUAGAUCAUAAGGGUUGAAGUGUUUAUUGUGGACUAGAUCAUAUGGGUUGAAGUGUGUUUAUUGUGGACUAGAUCAUAUGGGUUGAAGUGUUUAUUGUGGACUAGAUCAUAUGGGUUGAAGUGUUUAUUGUGGACUAGAUCAUAUGGGUUGAAGUGUUUAUUGUGGACUAGAUCAUAUGGGUUGAAGUGUUUAUUGUGGACUAGAUCAUAUGGGUUGAAGUGUUUAUUGUGGACUAGAUCAUAUGGGUUGAAGUGUUUAUUGUGGACUAGAUCAUAUGGGUUGAAGUGUUUAUUGUGGACUAGAUCAUAUGGGUUGAAGUGUUUAUUGUGGACUAGAUCAUAUGGGUUGAAGUGUUUAUUGUGGACUAGAUCAUAUGGGUUGAAGUGUGUUUAUUGUGGACUAGAUCAUAAGGGUUGAAGUGUUUAUUGUGGACUAGAUCAUAUGGGUUGAAGUGUUUAUUGUGGACUAGAUCAUAAGGGUUGAAGUGUUUAUUGUGGACUAGAUCAUAAGGGUUGAAGUUUUAUUGUGGACUAGAUCAUAUGGGUUGAAGUGUUUAUUGUGGACUAGAUCAUAUGGGUUGAAGUGUUUAUUGUGGACUAGAUCAUAUGGGUUGAAGUGUUUAUUGUGGACUAGAUCAUAUGGGUUGAAGUGUUUAUUGUGGACUAGAUCAUAUGGGUUGAAGUGUUUAUUGUGGACUAGAUCAUAUGGGUUGAAGUGUUUAUUGUGGACUAGAUCAUAAGGGUUGAAGUGUUUAAUGUGGACUAGAUCAUAUGGGUUGAAGUGUUUAUUGUGGACUAGAUCGUAUGGGUUGAAGUGUUUAUUGUGGACUAGAUCAUAUGGGUUGAAGUGUUUAUUGUGGACUAGAUCAUAUGGGUUGAAGUGUUUAUUGUGGACUAGAUCAUAUGGGUUGAAGUGUUUAUUGUGGACUAGAUCAUAAGGGUUGAAGUGUUUAUUGUGGACUAGAUCAUAAGGGUUGAAGUGUUUAUUGUGGACUAGAUCAUAUGGGUUGAAGUGUUUAUUGUGGACUAGAUCAUAUGGGUUGAAGUGUUUAUUGUGGACUAGAUCAUAAGGGUUGAAGUGUUUAUUGUGGACUAGAUCAUAAAGGUUGAAGUGUUUAUUGUGGACUAGAUCAUAUGGGUUGAAGUGUUUAUUGUGGACUAGAUCAUAAAGGUUGAAGUGUUUAUUGUGGACUAGAUCAUAUGGGUUGAAGUGUUUAUUGUGGACUAGAUCAUAUGGGUUGAAGUGUUUAUUGUGGACUAGAUCAUAUGGGUUGAAGUGUUUAUUGUGGACUAAACAUUAAUUCAUGCUCAACUAACAGCCCCCCCCCCAACAGGAUUAAACAUGAAUUCAUGCUCAACUAACAGCCCCACCCCCCCAACAGGAUUAAACAUUAAUUCAUGCUCAACUAACAGCCCCCCCCCCCCACCCAACAGGAUUAAACAUUAUUUCAUGCUCAACUAACAGCCCCCCCCCACCCAACAGGAUUAAACAUUAAUUAAUGGUCAA
rnacentral:lncRNA from 1 species